rnacentral:tRNA from 1 species
GCAGUUCUGGCCGAGUGGUUAAGGCGAUGGAUUAGAAAUCUAUUGGGGUCUCCCCGCACAGGUUCGAAUCCUGUUGACCGCG